rnacentral:rRNA from 1 species
CGGACGGGUGAGUAACACGUGGAUAACCUACCUAUAAGACUGGGAUAACUUCGGGAAACCGGAGCUAAUACCGGAUAAUAUAUUGAACCGCAUGGUUCAAUAGUGAAAGACGGUUUUGCUGUCACUUAUAGAUGGAUCCGCGCCGCAUUAGCUAGUUGGUAAGGUAACGGCUUACCAAGGCAGCGAUGCGUAGCCGACCUGAGAGGGUGAUCGGCCACACUGGAACUGAGACACGGUCCAGACUCCUACGGGAGGCAGCAGAA